rnacentral:lncRNA from 1 species
GGCGGGAAGCGGGUCUGGAGCGGGCUGGCGGGGCAGCCGGGUCGAGGAGAGACGGCUGGGACCCCCCAGCGCUGAGGGGAGCUGAAGGGAGCGGGCGUUGGGGUCGCGCCGCGCUUCCUGAGGGCCCUUCUCCCGAUAGCAGAAGAAACAGCAAGUAAGAGGAUACGCAGUUCUAGAUCAGAGGCUUUCAGCUCACAGGCAGAGGACCCCAGGAGUCUGCUGGCGGCUUGCUCGGGGUCUGCAGGAUGUGUCUGUGCCUGUAGGAGAAUGCUUGGAGUUCAGGCUUCUGCAUCUCUCAAGAUCCUGGAAAAAAAAUGGAAGACCGCUAUUUCUAGAUCACGGAGAUAUUUUAGUUUAGAGUAAGUGGAGGAGGAGUGGGAAAGCAAACUGUAUCUGGGUGUUCUGCUGUCUGUUUUGCUACUAUAGAGCUUAAAAAAAAAUGUUGAAUUUAAUGUAUUUUGAAGAGUUACAUAAGCCUAGGAUGACGAUUCUUAAAUAGCCUUAAAGAGUUAAAUAACAGCAUGCGAACGAGCAAGAAUGGGUUGGGGAGAGAUGAUUUUAUAACCAACACUGACGAGCGUGCCCGGAUAUUUAAAACUGCAGCUGAGUUGUGCUUGAAUCUUGUGUUAGUAGUAGUGGUGUUGGGGUUUUAAUUCUCUGUAACAGAAUGUGAGAAGGAGGGUAGAAGGAUAAAGUUUUUCACAGUUACGUGCAGGUCCAGGUCAUUAAAUGUAUCGGGAAUGGUUUAUGAUGCUCCAUUAUGAUGCUUCCAUUCUGUCGUAACAUUACCAGUACAAUGUUCUGCGUAUGAAAUAGUGAGAUUUUCCAGAUAUUAACUUGCCUCAGAGAGGAGGGAAUCUUGCUUUAAAAUAUCAAGGAAAGGUUAGUUGUGCCGAAUGGUGAGAGGGUGGUAAUCAGCCAUAUUUGGUACGUGCUGUGGCGGGCUGGUGUUCUCUGUUGGUUAUGGGAGUCGAAUGAAAUGGCGUUGAGCACAGAAAUACUGUUUAUUUGCCCAAACAGUAUCAGCUUGCUUUCUACCAGCACAUCUGCAUGUCUUUAUAUAUUUUUCUACUUCGGU